CGGAGGAAAAGAAACCAACAGGGAUUGCCCUAGUAACGGCGAGUGAAGCGGCAACAGCUCAAAUUUGAAAUCUGGCCCUUGGGUCCGAAUUGUAAUUUGUAGAGGAUGAUUUUGGUGCGGUACCUUCCGAGUUCCUUGGAACAGGACGCCUUAGAGGGUGAGAGCCCCGUACGGUUGGAUACCUAGCCUCUGUAAAUCUCCUUCGACGAGUCGAGUAGUUUGGGAAUGCUGCUCUAAAUGGGAGGUAAAUUUCUUCUAAAGCUAAAUACUGGCCAGAGACCGAUAGCGCACAAGUAGAGUGAUCGAAAGAUGAAAAGCACUUUGAAAAGAGGGUUAAAUAGCACGUGAAAUUGUUGAAAGGGAAGGAUUUAUGACCAGACUUUUUCUGGGCAGAUCAUCCGGUGUUCUCACCGGUGCACUUUGCCCAGUUUAGGCCAGCAUCGAUUUCCGGAGGGGGAUAAAAGCUUUAGGAAUGUGGCUCCCUCGGGAGUGUUAUAGCCUAUUGUAUAAUAC
rnacentral:rRNA from 1 species